CUGGUUCUCAUAUGCAAUGUCACCCGAGGCGGAUGUUUGACUCACAGGUGUGUCGCUAACUGAGCCCUAGCUCAAGACAAAACACACCUGGAAUCACCAUGUGAUCCUGUACCUGGGCGUGGAGAAAAGUCCCUGCUAUUAUCUGACUCUUCUGUUGAGUUGAGCGAUCAUUUUUUUCUGGUGGAUUUGUCAAGCGCUACACCAGUAUUUGAACGGAAUAGUGCCUUUCUACAACCGUCUCAGCGCAUGUUGGAAGAGUAAAAUGUGAACUUUACGUGUAGGCUAUUACUUGUGGACUUAUAUGUUGUUGUUGAUUUCGAGGGCAUCGAAAUCUUCACUGCUCGCAUUUGUGCAACUGUUCCUUUCUCCAAGUACUGCUGGUGGUUGAGUUUGGAUUGUCUUGAUGCGGACAGAUGAAAGAUGAGCCCAGGCCCUUAAUGAAGCGGAGGGUCAGCGGCGGUGUGCAGCUAAUUGGCUGGCUUUGCCCGGGGCUCUGGCUGCCUGCGUUUGAAGCGUCCGGCGAGGGUCUGCUCGGCUGCGGCUCGCUCUGUUCCGCUCCAGCGGCAAACACGCUCACAGCACCUCCGUCCGCCUC